rnacentral:rRNA from 1 species
ACGGGUGAGUAAUAUAUCGGAACGUACCGAGUAAUGGGGGAUAACUAAUCGAAAGAUUAGCUAAUACCGCAUAUUCUCUGAGGAGGAAAGCAGGGGACCUUCGGGCCUUGCGUUAUUCGAGCGGCCGAUAUCUGAUUAGCUAGUUGGUGGGGUAAAGGCCUACCAAGGCGACGAUCAGUAGCGGGUCUGAGAGGAUGAUCCGCCACACUGGGACUGAGACACGGCCCAGACUCCUACGGGAGGCAGCAGUGGGGAAUUUUGGACAAUGGGCGCAAGCCUGAUCCAGCCAUGCCGCGUGUCUGAAGAAGCCUUCGGGUUGUAAAGGACUUUUGUCAAGGAAGAAAAGGCUGUUGCUAAUAUCGACAGCUGAUGACGGUACCUGAAGAAUAAGCACCGGCUAACUACGUGCCAGCAGCCGCGGUAAUACGUAGGUGCGAGCGUUAUCGGAAUUACUGGGCGUAAAGCGAGCGCAGACGGUUACUUAGCAGAUGUGGAAUCCCCGGCUCAACCUGGGAACUGCGUUCUGAACUGGUGAUAAAUUGUCCAGAGGAAGUGAAUUCCAGUGUACCUUAAAUGCUAAGAUUCGAGAAUACCGUUGCGAGGCGCCUCUGGAAUACCCCGAGUCUAUCCGAAGCUGGUAGCACAGAUAGAUACCUG